rnacentral:rRNA from 1 species
GAAUAUUCAUCAUGUAUGCUUUUCUAAUUAUAAUGGGGGGUGGGGGAUGAAGAGGAAACUUUUCGAGCCACACACCGGAAUUUACUUUGAGGAAAUUAAAGUGUUCAUAGCAAAUAAGUGUUUGAAUACUACAGCAUGGAAUAACAAAUAGGACUUUGGUAUUGUUUUGUUGGAGUAGAGAAACCAAAGUAAAGAUGAAUAGGGACAGUUGGGGGCAUUGGAAUUUGAUAGUCAGAGGUGAAAUUCAUGGAUUUAUCAAAGACCAACAAAGGCGAAAGCAUUUGCCAAGGAUGUUUUCAUUGAUCAAGAACGAAAGUCAGGGGAUCGAAGACGAUUAGAUACCGUCGUAGUCUUGACCGUAAACGAUGCCGACUUGGGGGAGGUGCGAGAUGAGAAGCGCAUCACAACCAAAGGAGAAAUCAAAGUGUAUGGGUUCUGGGGGGAGUAUAGUCGCAAGGCCGAAACUUGAAGGAAUUGACGGAAGGGCACCACCAGGAGUGGAGCCUGCGGCUUAAUUUGACUCAACACGGGAAAACUUACCAGGUCCGGACAUGAUGAGGAUUGACAGAUUGAGAGCACUUUUAAGAUUUCAUGGGAGGUGGUGCAUGGCCGUUCUUAGUUGGUGGAGUGAUUUGUCAGGUUAAUUCCGAUAACGAGCGAGACCCUGUGAUGACGGUAAUGAUUGAGUAUGUAAAUACGCGAGACGUUUCUUCAUCGACACCCCA